ensembl:lncRNA
GGUCAGCGGCGGAGCUGGCGAGGAGCUUCCCUCGCCCACAGGUCACUGAGCAAAGUUGUUUUGUGUCCAUGCAUCGCAGCUCCCAUCCUGGGACAUAAUAAGGGGAGGAUUUGUAGGCAUUCCCGGGAAGGUACAAGUCGCCAGCUGUUAUUUAUCGGCUUGUGAAAGGAAAAACUCCACAUGGCCAUGUUUUAAAAUCCACCUCUUUAUGAACAGAUUGUGAUUUCACAUGCUGAAUAUGUUUUAUACAUGUCGUGCUUUUAGAGAUGUUGAGUGGACCUGAAGCACAGGUGAAAUGCUGAGGUGAUGUACAACAGCUCAGACUCGAUUUACAUGGCUGCAGCUCCAUGUAGUGAGGGUUGGACAUCUUGACGUGGUUGAUUUUUGAGGGAUUUUUCUGUACUGAUGCUAGUUUAAUUGAACUUAAGAUAAUGGUUGCUGGGGGCUGAGAGUGGAAGAGGCUAUUCUUUCAAUAAUUAUCAGAUCUCAUGUCAAGGAAACUGCUUUGUGUGAAAAGGAACAAGGCAGAACUAGGCUAUUACAGACUUGUGCACUCUACUAUCUAUUUUGGGCCAAGAUCCAAAAGCAUUUCAUGGUUUAAAACAGUGUCCAGAGAUUUCAGCUGGGAUAGAAGCCCAUUUCUCUGCAUUGAACAAGCAUAGAAGAAAUGUUCUGACACCAAAGACUUUGCAGUCUUGCUGAAACGACAGAAUGGGGAUGGGAUGGAAGGAUGAAAGCAACUGGAACUGAAGCAGAGCUUAUACAGACGUACAAGGGCCUCUCUGAAAAUGUCUCCUAAUCUAUUGUGUUGACCCACAAUGUCAGAGGUGGAUAUUGGUGGUAUGGCAUUAGAGAAUGAACCUUCCUAACAGCAUUCCAUUACAUUUUGUUGCUGUGUGACAGCUGGCAGCAGAGGAUCAGUCUGACAAAAUGGCAUCUGACAUGGAAGCAUGUAUGAAGCAAAGGUAUCUCACUGAAUUCCUCCAUGUGAAAAAAAAUUGCAUCCCUUGACAUUCAUCGACUCUUGCUGAAUGUUUAUGAAGACCAAACAGUGGCUGUGAGCACAGUGAAGUGAUGGGUGGUGCAUUUCAGCAGCAGUGACAGUGACAGUGGAUCACCUCUGCUGGUGCAGAUUUUUAGGAGAGUGGCAUGCAGGCUCUUGUUCAUCACUCGUGAAAAUUCAUAGCUAAUGGUAGUGACUAUGUUGGAAAACAGUGUUUUGUACCUGAGAAUUUGCUUUAUCAAAUAGUGUUAUUGUGCUCUUUGUAUCUGUUUUUGUUUCUAUGGAAAUAAAUAGGAGGUGUUACUUUCGCAGCAACCUGUAUUUCACAUAACCCAAAUUCAAUGAUUUUCAGACUCAUCUUUUGGUUAAAUGUGAGACUUACGCAAGAAAUUAUGUAGUCUCUAGUGCCCUAACUUAACUUAAAAGGAAAGUAUAAUAAGAAUAUUUGAGCGAAAACUGUCCGGGGAGUGCUAACUUCUGUUAAAUAGUAAGUUGUACUUACUAGAAGUAGCAGGAGUUAUUACUACCAGGAGACAGCAGUAGGAGAAAUGGACUAUGGCAAGUAUAUCAAACAGACAAUAGAAUAACAAUUAAAAAACCUGAAACAUAAGG